GGCAGUUGCACAACCCUUUUAAUGUCAGUCUUGGAAUGAAGACUUUAUGCAUCACUAGCUGUGUGCAUGUAUAGUGAUUCCCAGUUUUUCUUCAAGGGGGAUACUGUUUCCCUUUCUGAGAAGAUAAUCGAUGACCCUCCAAGACUUGAGAGGAGUGACCUGAGUUUAGGAGAUAGUAGAACCCACCUAGGUCGUGCCAGCAAAUCCGUGUGAAUGCCACUGGAUUAAAAGAAGGAAGUUUAGUUGAAUGGUUACUACCCUCAUUCACAGGAGCAGUUAUCAGCACUUCCAUUGAGGCAACAGCAGUGGGAAAAGGAAGGCAAAUAUUUAUUCACCCAUCCAUAAACUCAUAAAAGUAGGUAAUCAAGAGAUGCUUAUUAAAUAAACCUUGGAA
rnacentral:lncRNA from 1 species